rnacentral:misc_RNA from 1 species
CACAAACAUAUGAAGGUGGGGUGCUGGCAACAGCACUCUGCUGAAUUAUUUCACCCAUUGUCUUUUGCGGACUUCUUGUUUCCUUGGUGGAGUUCGCUCGCCACCUAGGACCCAACAUAAACCUUUUGUUAUUGCAAUCAGCGUCAGUACAAUAAUUGAAUAUUA